ACCACCCAUCCACCCCCGCACGUGCAGAGAGAAAAAAAUGUCUAAAAAAAAAAUCUCCAAAUCGGCGACGACGAGCCGCGGCGGCGGCGGCGGCGCGGCGGAGUGGGAGGGAGCGGUUGCGACGACGAGGGGAGGUGGGGCGGCGGUGCCUGCGGGUGGUGGCUCCAAACUCGAAAGGGCAGCACAAGGUUGGUGCGGUGCGACGAUCUCAUCAUCCCACCUCCCCGGCGAUCUCUCUCCCCCCCCUCCAUUCUGGCCAUUGUUGCGGUGCUGUUGCCCCCCCGUCGUUUCGCGGCGGAUCCGUCCAGGCAAGUAUCAUAAAUAAUAUCCGGAAUAUGAUGGAAUAUGACAAAGUUCUUGGGAAGCUGAAUGUAUUGGAGUUCCUCCUAAAUUUUAGGAGCUAACUAGCAGCAGUGAGCUAUUAUUUUUGUCAUAAAAGCAGGUAGAACAUUUGCCUUCCCUUUAUGUUUGGCAAAUGUAGAACUCAAAACUGAAUUGACCAGCUUUGUUCUGGCAAGUUCAUCUGAUUUAUCAUAAGGAAGCAACGGUUAGUGAAAGAGUCACAAUCUGAGUUUCAAGAAAAUGGCAGAUUCUCGUAUAAUCGAUGACUGGAAGAUGGCAUUGAAGAAGCAUCGACAUACAAACUUGAUAAUAGACAAUAAAGAACACAUAAGUGUUCCAGACUAUCCUGUGAUUUGUCCCUCUAGGAAUCGCUGGAUGCCAUACUUCCUAGGUAAAAUACCCUUCAAAAGAAAAGGUAAGCUGUAGCUUGCUAGGCCAAGCAAGCAUCGUGUGUGGAUGGAGCCAUGGAGGUGUACUUUCAAGUUCUUUAUAUCUGAGAGGGACUCUGUACGCAAUAUGGAAGUACUUGUGCAGGCCCAUGCCCAUAUGUGUACUUUGAGUACUCCACAGUAAGUUGCUCCAUCGAAGUGCCAAACCCCCCCAAACUGUCGUAACUCACAAUAAUGGCCUUGCCUCCUCUUCCCUCUUUGCCACGCCACCAAUGUAUGUUCAUACAAGAUGAUGAAUGGAGUUGGUGUCGGCGGUGGACUGUGGUACCUGUGGUCUGCAGAUUUUUCGGGAGAAGAUGGAUAGUGUUUCGAGAGAAGAUAAAAUAUGGAGUGCUGUAACCAAGAGUUGAUGGUGGAUCUUGACUAGAUGAAAUGCACUAAUGCAAGGGGAAGGUGUUGGGAUUCUGUUUCCUGGAUCUUGACCAAGGUCAGUUUUCCAGGUUUUUUUUCAGUUCAAGUUGUAUCAAACCCAGCAAAAGGCUUUUGUUACCUUGUCAGCUUCCGGUGCCUCUGUUUGUGGAACAAACUAGUUUGGUUUAUUCAGUAACCCAGGGGUUUACUUUUUUUUCGGGCUUGUGUAUAUGAAAGUUUCAGACCAUGAUCUAAGCAGCAAUCACAUCGUCAUUCAUGUCCUUUAAUCUGGAGUAGACUUUGCUUUCAUCUACACCUGAAUGUCUCAUGGAGCCUUAUUGCUGGAGCACAUGGGUUAUAUAUAAUUCAUUAGUAUUCCCUCCUUUCUAAAAAUACUUAAUCCUUCUUAUCCUAGUUUAACGUAUUGGAGUUUGUUAA